ACAUGUUUAGAGAUUUGCAAAAUUUAUGUUGAAAUUGAAAAAGCUUUCAAAUAAGCCAGAACAUCAUUUUUCUCUUUUUUCAUGCCAGCUAUAAUAUGUGAAAUAGGUAUCUUUCUUAUUCAAUAGUUGAUUUUGCAAAUAAAAGCAAUAAAUUCCAAAUGAACACUGAAUCGCGUUGAAACAAAAUGACAAGUUAGUAUUGCUAAAAUAUGUCAUAAUUUUUAGAAAUUGCAACACUAUCAACGAUUCAUAUCUCUUGUUGAAAUACUAAAUACUAAUGACGUAUUCCAAUGGUAUAAAUAAAUGAAAGGAAGCAGUUAGUAAACUGGUUAUUAAUGUUUCAUUUGUGGUGAAUGUCUAUGCGUAUGUUGGUGUUCUCAUUUCUGAAACAUGUUGAAAACAGUUGUAAUUUUUUUAUUCAUUGUCGUCUGUGUCGAGUUUAAGUUGCUACAAAGUAGCCAUCUUGUAACAAAACAUGGACAGAGAAGACAAGCAUGGCCUCCCUCCAAAGAUGCUAGUUCAUCAUCAUCAAGUGGCCUGGAUUCUACUUCUAGGGGCAGUGGCUCAUCUAUGCCAAGUGAUGGUAAAUCUGAUCAAAGCGCAUCAUCUUCUUCAAGUAGUAAUGAUUCAGAUGACAGUGAUAGUUCAUCUUCAUCAGGCAGUAGUAGUUCUGAUAGAAUAGAGGUGGCUCAUCUUCUUCAAGUGGGAGUGAUUCUGAUAGUAUGGGCAGUGGCGAAGCGUGAAAAAGUUGGCAUGUAAGCCAGACAGCCACAGAAGUACCUAUCAAUAAUUGCAAAACGUAUCAAUUAUACCUAUGUAUUUGGAGUAUAGCCUAUAGGUACUUUGAUUCAUGGGCAACAAGUUUACCAAAUUGAAACAAUUUUAGAAAUAACACUCGUGAUUUUAAAACUAAAAAGAGUAGCUAGGUAAGUAUGGAAACAACGUUCCCGAUUUGUAAACUAAAAGUAAAAUAAGGUUAAUAACUCGAUAGGUAUAUCACUACCUAAUUGAAACAACACUAGAUUUAAAAAGUAAAAAUAAUAGGUAAGUAUAUUAUCACUUAUUAGGCACUAAAUUUUUUUGUAGAUGAGGUCGAUCCUACGAUCUUUUUUAUCAGCAAAAAGAUCAAUUAUUUCAUCCGAACAUUUUUGGGUAAUUAUGUUUGAUUUUACCAGACCUUUUUCAAUUGCCAAAGUAGGUACUUAUUGUUAGAUUCGAGAGGCGAAAGUUGGUCAUAGUACUUCUUAAAAACGGUUUUAUUCGCUUAAGGGCGCUCAUGCUCCGUUCACGUGAAGCAGUUGUCACCGGAAUAGUGAGGAAUAACUCCAAUAACUUCGUUAAUUCAGGAACACAUGAUGCCAAAUCAUUCGAAUUUAUAUAUCAUGCCAACAGAUGCCGAGGAUUUAAGUAAGCGUAAAGUGCCCUAAUGCCGACCACUACUCUAAUUCCAGUAAUUCCGACCACCUGUCGAUUUCAUUCAAAUGAUGCCGGAACUUUUCCGGAGAAAAUUUAUUUCUACGUAUUCCUUUUUCACAGACAAAACGGCUGACAUCGUUUUUUUGUUGCUUUUUCUCAUAUUACGCGAAAAAAUUCGAUUUCUGAUGAUAAUUCCAGAUGCGGCCGACGAUAGUAUUAGUCGAUUAGGUAUCAAGCAUAGACCCUUCGGCCAAAAUUUCAGCUGCUCAAGUUCAUGUGGUGGGAAGAAAGGGUCAUUUUUCAAAUUUACUGAAAAUAUGAGAAAAAAAGUAAAAAAUUCUGAUUUUUGGCCGGAAGGCCGGAUCCGGCCAAUGGUGGUAUGAGAUGAUCAGGUAUCUAGAAGACUGUCUUUGGCCAAAAUUUGAGCUCCGGAAGUUGAUUUGCGAAAGACAUGGAUAUUUGUAUUUUUUCCUGUUUUCUGAGUUGAACAGUUGAACAGCUUUACCAUGUGUAGGUACACAAAACUUCAAACGCUCGCCAAACAUCGAAAAAUCAACAUGAGCAGCUGAAAAUUGGGAGAUCGGUGUUUUUUGAGGUCCUCUUUCUAACAGUCCUAGUUUCAUUCAAAUCGGAGAUUACCAUGUGGGGGGCCUCCCUUGUAAGAAAAAAAUGACACGUUUUUGAAAUCGUCAUAAAAUUUUGCCACUUUUUUAUCUGAAAUAUUUUUUGAUUGCAUAAUUUAUUUACUGACAAUAUUCGUUUGAAUGCUUGACUUCAAAAACUUGGAAUACGAAAAUUCAAAUUUGGAAACCACUGAAAUGUUGGGUAUUACUAAAUGAGAACGGUCAUGGGUAGAUACUUCUAGAGUGAUCCAAUACGAGUUAUUUCAGACCACAAGCACCCCUCUACCCCCUUUUGGUUAGGAUUUACUGGCCAAAACAGAUGACAACGAAGGUGCCCAAUUCUCACAACUUUGGGAACCCCAGGAUCGGUUUUGCAAUUCGAUCUCAAAAAUGUAAGGGUGGUUUCUGGGUCGCGAUAUGAUCCUCUUUCGAGGAAAUAUCGCGAAAAUUUUAUAUCUUUCCGAUGCCAUUCUUUUGAUAAUUUUCACUUCAUUUGCUACCCCUACUAGGUAUGUAUUAUAGCCAAGACCGGUGUAUUCUGUUCAAAAUCAAGGUUCAAAUGAUUCAUCAUCAGUUUGUGCUUACAUAUACUGUUUGGAGAUGACUAUAGGUAUAGAGAUUUAAUAAUACGAAAUGUGCACAAAAGAGCACAAAACUAUUGACAUCACUUUCAUCCCCCUAAUGAAAAGUGGUCGAUUUUCAUUUUCCCAGGUCGACUAAAAGGUUUUUUUAACAAUUACGCGGAGGCGGGACCACAAAAAAAGAGUACGUGCACAAAAGAACACCAAUGAAGCACAAAUGAUUGACACCACUUUCACCCCCCCUACCUGAAAGUGCUCGUCGCGGGGAAUCGGACCUUUGAGGGCGCAGGAGAAUGGUGAGGUUAUUACUGAGCAUCUGUUCGGCAAAAGUGAUACUCAUCGAAACGUUUUGCAAGGGUGAAGAGGCGAAGUAAUUUCAAAUUUACACGGACCUACACGGCCACCCAAAUGAAUUCAAAAUCAAAAUUAACCAAUCAAAACCAUGCACAGAAAAAAAAUCGUAGUACACUAGAUGAGCCAAUAAGCUAUCGUUGUUGUUCUUUGACGGGGGGUAAAUGGACUUGCUGGGUAUCCGUUUAGUGUAAUAUCGAUGAUGCAACCUAUAUUUGAAUGAACAAUUAUUUUCUGCGGCGAAGUUUGUUCCUUCUUGGUGUACAUUCAUAGAACAAGACUUUCUUUGAAAAGCAUAAUGCCAAUAUGGUUGGUUAUUAAAUAGCACUGUUCAUAAUUUGUACUGUAACUGUACACUGAUAGAAAGAGAUCCUGGUUUUAUUAUUGUUAUAUGUUUUACUAGCAAAUAGUCAAAGUUAUUAUAAUUU